AUUGAACGCUGGCGGCAUGCCUUACACAUGCAGGUCGAACGGCAGCACGGGGGCAACCCUGGUGGCGAGUGGCGAACGGGUGAGUAAUGCAUCGGAACGUGCCCAGUAGUGGGGGAUAACCAGUCGAAAGACUGGCUAAUACCGCAUACGACCUACGGGUGAAAGCGGGGGACCGUAAGGCCUCGCGCUAUUGGAGCGGCCGAUGUCUGAUUAGCUAGUUGGCGGGGUAAGAGCCCACCAAGGCGACGAUCAGUAGCUGGUCUGAGAGGACGACCAGCCACACUGGGACUGAGACACGGCCCAGACUCCUACGGGAGGCAGCAGUGGGGAAUUUUGGACAACGGGCGCAAGCCUGAUCCAGCCAUGCCGCGUGCGGGAAGAAGGCCUUCGGGUUGUGAACCGCUUUUGGCAGGAACGAAACGGCGCAAGCCAAUACCUUGCGCUAAUGACGGUACCUGCAGAAUAAGCACCGGCUAACUACGUGCCAGCAGCCGCCGUAACAC
rnacentral:rRNA from 1 species